rnacentral:rRNA from 1 species
UAGGGAAUCUUCCACAAUGGGCGAAAGCCUGAUGGAGCAACGCCGCGUGUGUGAUGAAGGCUUUCGGGUCGUAAAGCACUGUUGUAUGGGAAGAACAGCUAGAAUAGGAAAUGAUUUUAGUUUGACGGUUACCAUACCAGAAAGGGACGGCUAAAUACGUGCUAG